GUGGGGAAUAUUGCGCAAUGGGGGAAACCCUGACGCAGCAACGCCGCGUGAUCGAAGAAGGUCUUCGGAUUGUAAAGAUCUUUUAUCAGGGACGAAGAAAGUGACGGUACCUGAUGAAUAAGCUCCGGCUAACUACGUGCCAGCAGCCGCGGUAAUACGUAGGGAGCGAGCGUUAUCCGGAUUUACUGGGUGUAAAGGGCGAGUAGGCGGGCUGGUAAGUUGGAAGUGAAAUGUCGGGGCUUAACCCCGGAACUGCUUUCAAAACUGCUGGUCUUGAGUGAUGGAGAGGCAGGCGGAAUUCCUAGUGUAGCGGUGAAAUGCGUAGAUAUUAGGAGGAACACCAGUGGCGAAGGCGGCCUGCUGGACAUUAACUGACGCUGAGGAGCGAAAGCGUGGGGAGCAAACAGGAUUAGAAACCCUAGUAGUCC
rnacentral:rRNA from 1 species